GCCGGGUGGGGUGAUGUACGCCUGUAAUCCCAGUAGCUCUGGAGGCUGACAGGAGGAUCACGAGUUUGAGGUGAGCCUCAGCAACUUAAGGAGGCCCUAAGCAACUUAGCAAUAUCCUGUCUC
rnacentral:sRNA from 1 species